UACGUAGGGUGCAAGCGUUGUCCGGAAUUAUUGGGCGUAAAGAGCUCGUAGGCGGCUUGUCACGUCGACUGUGAAAACCCGGGGCUCAACUCCGGGCCUGCAGUCGAUACGGGCUGGCUUGAGUGCGGUAGGGGAGACUGGAAUUCCUGGUGUAGCGGUGAAAUGCGCAGAUAUCAGGAGGAACACCGGUGGCGAAGGCGGAUCUCUGGGCCUUACCUGACGCUGAGGCGCGAAAGCUAGGGGAGCGAACAGG
rnacentral:rRNA from 1 species